rnacentral:rRNA from 1 species
GACGAACGCUGGCGGCGUGCUUAACACAUGCAAGUCGAACGGAAAGGCCCUGCAUUUGUGGGGUGCUCGAGUGGCGAACGGGUGAGUAACACGUGAGUAACCUGCCCUUGACUUUGGGAUAACUUCAGGAAACUGGGGCUAAUACCGGAUAGGAGCUCCUGCUGCAUGGUGGGGGUUGGAAAGUUUCGGCGGUUGGGGAUGGACUCGCGGCUUAUCAGCUUGUUGGUGGGGUAGUGGCUUACCAAGGCUUUGACGGGUAGCCGGCCUGAGAGGGUGACCGGCCACAUUGGGACUGAGAUACGGCGCAGACUCCUACGGGAGGCAGCAGUGGGGAAUAUUGCACAAUGGGCGGAAGCCUGAUGCAGCAACGCCGCGUGCGGGAUGACGGCCUUCGGGUUGUAAACCGCUUUCGCCUGUGACGAAGCGUGAGUGACGGUAAUGGGUAAAGAAGCACCGGCUAACUACGUG